AUUUUUAGGACACUUAGGAGUUAAUUCUCCAGACAUUGAAUUGUGGUGCAUUAAAAGUUAAACUGCAAAAAUAGUACAAAACCCCUUUGUUGGAAAAAUUCCAUAUAACUAAAUCAACUACUAUCGACCGUUUUCAGUUCAUCCACAUUCACAUCUUAGUUAAUAAAACCUUUUGGCUCAAGGCAAGAAGCCACCAUUCAGC